UGGGCUGUAGCUUAACGGUAGAGCGUCGCUCUGUGAAAGCGAUAGGUGCGAGUGCAAGGCUCGUCAGUCCACCCA
rnacentral:tRNA from 1 species